rnacentral:rRNA from 1 species
UGGGGAAUUUUGGACAAUUGGGCGAAAGCCUGAUCCAGCAAUGCCGCGUGUGUGAAGAAGGCCUUCGGGUUGUAAAGCACUUUUGUCCGGAAAGAAAUCCUUGGCUCUAAUACAGUCGGGGGAUGACGGUACCGGAAGAAUAAGCACCGGCUAACUACGUGCCAGCAGCCGCGGUAAUACGUAGGGUGCAAGCGUUAAUCGGAAUUACUGGGCGUAAAGCGUGCGCAGGCGGUUUGCUAAGACCGAUGUGAAAUCCCCGGGCUCAACCUGGGAACUGCAUUGGUGACUGGCAGGCUAGAGUAUGGCAGAGGGGGGUAGAAUUCCACGUGUAGCAGUGAAAUGCGUAGAGAUGUGGAGGAAUACCGAUGGCGAAGGCAGCCCCCUGGGCCAAUACUGACGCUCAUGCACGAAAGCGUGGGGAGCAAACAGGAUUAGAUACCCUGGUAGUCCACGCCCUAAACGAUGUCAACUAGUUGUUGGGGAUUCAUUUCCUUAGUAACGUAGCUAACGCGUGAAGUUGACCGCCUGGGGAGUACGGUCGCAAGAUUAAAACUUAAAUGAAUUGACGGGGUCAUAGCUG